GUGGUACAGAAUAUUAAAUGCAGUUUCAUAACAAGGUUCGGGAGGAGCACGUCAGAUACUUAGCCUAAUUAGCACAGGUGGAGCCACUUAAGAUAAUCAACCUUAGGGUAUAAAUACAGCUGAAUUAGCCUACCUGUCUCCAUUGACGGUUUAUCAGCAUCCCCCCUCCACCCCAUCUCCUCCACUAGAGUUCAUUUUACACUUUUACAUAUACGGGGGGUACUCUAGGUUCGGGCCAUUCCUGAGCUCAGAGCCCCUUCCCAGGAAAGCAAGCCAAAUAUGCAUUAUAAUACUUCAGCUAAUUAUAUAGCCCUUCGCAGCAGGCUGCUGGCUUUACAACCCCUCUCGGAUAUAAAAGGCUAAUGCAUAAUGGAGCCACCUUGACCCCAUACAGCACCCAGGGCUCCCUGUCCCCUCAGAAGCACACUUCGACCUGUCACACUUGAUCUACCGUUUAAUUUGAUGCUGGAGCCUGCAAUUUCUGCUACACCAUCACAGGUUGUGUGGCUCUAUACCACAAGAAAGGCCAAUAGAAGCAUGUAUAAAUAUCCAACUGAAACAUCAAGCGUGCCCUUGUCAGUUUGAACUUGGGUAGCAAAAGCCAAACAGAUCCAGAGUGUCCAAUCAUGUCCGAUAUUGAUAAACGGGGCAAGCAUUUCACAUUUGACCAAGCAGUGGAAUUGAACUGUUUAGCAGUAUCAGAACAUCCCUGCAGGCGGUUUUAUUCUCAUGCUGAGUAGAAACAGGCAAAUAAUAAAAUGAGACUAGCCUAGGCUUGGCAGCCAUGGCUCAUGAUGCGGUGCAAUUAUUCUUUUGUUUGAUGUAGCAGAAUUCUUGUAAUAAUAAUAAAAAAUCUUCCCAAC